AAAAAAAAUCAAAGCUACCCUUAAAAUAAUUACUAUUUGAAAAAUGCUCAAAAUAAAUCUCUGGGGGAAACAACAGUAAGCUUUUUCCCUGGCCUCACUCCUUACCGAGUGUAUUUCUGCCUUUUAUCACGUGAGUGAUGGGAUUUUCUCUAGCUGAAGGCAUGGUGCACUUUUGUUGGCUUUUGACUAUGGGUUUGUCUACGUGGUUUCUUUUGGCUUAGGCCAGUUCCCAGCCUAGGCCUCGAGUAUUUCCAUCUGUUCUCUUACACUCCUGUCACAGCCAGAGGAAAACAGAUUCAAGCUAGUCAGGGGAGUCAGAGGUGCCUGGGACAGAACUAGCCACUCAGGUCCAGCUGCAGGAGACCCACAUGGGUGAGAGGCCAAUAUUGCUGUGUGCCUCUGAGUGUUUGAUGGUGUUGUUGUGAAGCAUUCUUACACACAGGUGACACACGUGCCAGCAAAAACGAAAUGUUUGAAGGGUUUGGAACAACGACAUUCUCCUAAGACAAAUGUCUCCUCUAAAGAAGGUGUGUUCAGUAAAAAUGAUUUAUGUAGGAUAAUUUUUCAGAGUAUAUAUGCAUGCAUAUAUACAUAUGUAUAUGUGUGUGUGAGAAGAGCGUAUGUAUCUAGAAGGAUCUAUAUCAAGUGCUUAUCAAUGGGUAUGUGAAUAGAUAAUCUGAAACACAAAAUAAUAAGCCUGUAUCUAUUUGGAAUAAAAUAAAAAUUCUAGACUUUGAUGACCUGAGUUUGAUCCUCAAGACCCAGAUUGUAAGUGGAAAGGAAAGAAACUUUUAUAAGUUACCUCUGCCCUCUACAUGAAUGUUCCAGCAUGUACGUGCACACAGACACAGACACAGACACAGACACAGACACAGACACAGACACACACACACACACACACACACACACACACACACACGCAAAUGUAAAAAAAUAGUUUCAUUAAAAAGCCUAGAAAAUAAUUGGUGGAUUAUUUUAUUAUAAUAUUUCUACUAAACUGAUAUGAAACAUAUCCUGUUUCAUAAGUAAAAAUGUCUGCAAUAAGUGACAGUUUGUCGCAGAAUCACCUUGGUAGUCAAAGGAAUUAAAAGAUCCCAAACCAUAAAAAAGCUUACACACAUAUAUCUCAAUUUAGCAUCUACAGAUGAAUUGAGAAUCAAUUACAUAAAAAGAUCACAAGUUUUUGUGACAGGGUUUGGAUCUCAACCUUUAGUUAGGCACCUGGGCAGGUCCCACUGGCUUCUCUCAUUUGGUUAUUCCCCUUUUUCUUUCUAGUAAACAACUUGCAGUUGUCUACAUUUCUUUGCCCUUUUUUUUUUUUUGCAACUAAAUGUGGCCAUGUGUGCAAGCUUUGAUGCACUGAACACAAAUAGAAAUGACAGGUAAAGCUUCAACUCAUGUUUUCAUAAGAAGCUGAAUGCCCAGGUCUCUUCCUGUCCUCCUUCCCAAGAGCAGGAACAUGUUCCAACCACACAGACACUGCUGCUGCUGCUGCUGAAGCCAUGCAUGAGAAAGGUGGUCUGGGAGAGCAUCAGUGCCUACCGCCAGGUCACCCGACCUCUUAGGACAGAACUACCUGUCUCAGCCUCUGUGUUUCAAGUGGAAAAUAAGUAAGGGGGACUCAGCCCAUCACGCAUGCUUCCCAAACACCCUUUUUCCACCAAGAAACAAUACACUUCGCUUUAGUCUUUAAUUGAAUCUUGAUCAUUUUUAUAGCUGCUCUAAAGUUACUUGAUGCACUAGCUCAUCGAGCUAAGAGCCAACGUCAAAGGCAUCUCGAGAAUCUGAAAGUUGAGGCGGUUCAUUUCCUGAUGGGCAUAGUUCGGGGAUGGCUCAUGUGAAUUUUAAGGAUGUUCUUUCAGUGGGUGUGUGUUCCAAACUGUAAUAUAAUCACUUGCAGGCCCAGGAACAUGUAGAUUCCUAUUUGGUAGAUUUUGAGAGGAGCCUGAGAAGUCUAGAUGUGCUUCUCACAGGCUUCCACUAAUCAUGCAUGAGAGGCCUGACUCUGAAAAGUCUGGAAUGGGAAGGCAGGAGAUGAGAGGCCUGGGGCCAGUCAGGAGCUGCUGGGGUAAAUCUGGGAUGACACCAAAAUGGACCUAUAUCCAAAGAAAAGAAAACAAAUAAAACCCCAAAUCUAGGAUCAUCUUUUAUUUGUUUGUGUGGCUUGGUUUCUUGAGGCAGGAUUUCUCAGUGUAGUCCUGGUUGUCCUAGAACUCGUUCUGGAGACCAGGCUGAUCUCAAACUCAGAGAUCUGCCUGCCUCUGCCUCCCGGGUGUUGGGGUUAAAGAUGUUUGCUAUCACACCCAGCAAAUCUAGGAUCUUUAUUGUCUGUGUGUAGCAACAAGAAGCAAAGGCCAAAGAAUAUGAUCAAAUAUCAAUGCAUAAGGUAUCACAUUCUGAGUGUUAUAUUAUUAUUUUUAUAGACUACAGAAGUUGAGAAUUAGAUAAAAUAUAAUAUUCUAAUACUUGAUGGAGCAGUGCCUUUGAAUCUAAGCUGUCUCCUGAUGCCGGGUGCACCCCACAAUAAGGUUCUGAGCCUCAGCUAAGGGACGUUGUAUCCAGAAGGACUUCUUGAAAAUAGUCACAGGGUUUGGAGAGGUCACGGAUUAAGAUGUGUGCAGUUAGUGAGAGGCAGUGAGAUAACCAUGUCAGGUGGAGCCCAUUGCCUUUCAGACUGAUAGGUGAGAGGGGUAUCUCCAACAUGAGGUAUUUAAUUGUAGCAAAAAAUGUGAUCAACCUUCUUGGUAUCCUACUGGAUAAAGUGAGGACGAGUAAGGCUGGAUGCUGGUAGCAUUAAGUGGGUUUGCGAGUGAUCAAACGGUCCUUAGCAACCUAUGAGGGGCAGCAACCUUGAGCAGGUGCCCCCGAAUCUAACCUUGGCCUUGUCACAUUCAGCAUUUUUACGGAGGCAAGUGAAGAUGUUGCUGUACCCAUACCCUAAAACAAACAUGGAGCCCAAUAGGGAAGAAAGUGACCAAAAACCACUCUGUCUCAACACACCUUACAUUCUAAAGGAGGCAAAAGGUAAUGCUGAAUGGCUGUGGUGUGCUAGGCAGUUGUGUGUCUAUGAAGGGGAGCAGAAAAGAGCAUAGAGGGGCUGGGGAUUUAGCUCAGUGGUAGAGCGCUUACCUAGGAAGCGCAAGGCCCUGGGUUCGGUCCCCAGCUCCGAAAAAAAGUACCAAAAAAAAAAAAAAAAAGAAAAGAGCAUAGAACAGAUAUUGUGGUUGAUUAGGGAAGUGCUUGGUUUUAAAUAGAGGGGUGGAGGUCACUGAAAAGGGCUGAGGAUUAUGUGACUAACACACCCAAGGGAAGUUGAUUUGAGGAGGUAACAGAAGAGAAACAUAGGGGCUGGAGAGAUGGCUCAGUGGUUAAGAUCACUGACUGCUCUUCCAGAGGUCCUGAGUCAAGUUCCCAGCAACCACAUGGUGGCUUACAACCAUCUAUGAUGGGAUCUGAUGCCCUCUUCUGGUGUGUCUGAAGACAGCUACAGUGUACUCAUAUAUAUACAUAUACAAUGAGUAAAUAAGGCUUUAAAACAGACGAAGAAGAAGAAGAAAAAGAAGAAGAUGACAAAGGGGAGUUUGUACAUUAACCAGGCAACUGUGAUAAUCAAAUGAAUCUCAAUUUGGCUAAAACGUUGAGACAAAUCUUAUGUUUAUUUUAGCGGAAGGUCAAAGGUUUAUAUAUUAAGAGGUAACCAGAAAAUCGCAUAUCUUGGAGAGUACAAUUUCAUUGAAAUAAAUGUAAGGCCGUCUCUUUGGGAACAGAGUAUCCGUUAUUGGUGACAUGUUAGGAGAAAUGAGAUUUGGCAUUCAGAAAAUAGACUAGGAAUGUUAGUCAAAUGAAUCAGCUCUGAGAUGUGGCUCAAAAACCUAGUGCGGGCUCAGGUUGUAAGUUCAGCCUCUGCAGGGAGCGGGGGUUGUGUCAGCAAACCGCACUUAAUGAAUGCAGCAUGUUUGGAUAGGGGACAAAAUCCAAACUCCAAACUGACAAACAGGAGGACACCUAAAGGAGAGCAAACAGAGGUGGUUGAAAGUCCAAAGCACUUCAGAUCACAAACACUUCGAUGCAGUCCCAAAGGCUGGACGUUGAGGGGAAGUCCACACUGCUUCUGAGUUUUCAUAGGUGUGUCUCACAAAACUAGUUGGGGGAUAUAAAAGCCCCAUAGCUGUCAAUGAAAAGAGUGACAAAUGCUGCAUGUCUUUGUAAAUACGCAAAGACUCUUCUCUCCUGAAACAUGACCCAGUAGCCUAUACCUUUGCACCCCUUUGCCAUUCAAACUAAAAGCUAGCUCCUGCAUAUACGUGUGUGUAUGUGUAGCAUAUAGGGGGAGUGUGGGGCCCGAGAUAGACUUUGAAUGUAUUUCAGUAUUGCUCUCAACCAUAUUUUUCGAGACAGGUUUUCCAAUUAAACCUGGCGCUCACUAUUAUGGCUCUACUGGCUGGUCAUCAGGCCUCCAGCAUCCUCCUAUCUCUGCACCCUGCCUCAGAACUAGAGUUACAGGCACAUACUGCCAUGCCUGGUUUUCUACAUGGCUACUUGGGACCUGAACUCAGGUAGCCACGUUUCUAUAGCAAGUACUUUACCCACUGAGCCACUCCCCAGGGUAAACCACCCUUGGAAGCAAACGGCCUCACAGCUGGUGACUUGGGCUCUUCUGCUUCAGAUGUUCAGUGGCCUCUCAUGGUUGGAGUGUUCUAGUGUGUACAUGUGGGCGGUCAUCCAGAGUCCCUGUAUCUUUUCCAGCACAUAGGCCUGCAAGGAGGCCUGGGGACUAGGAAAACCCUGAGUCCUUUGUGGGGAAAAAAAGAAGUGGGCUCUGCCUCUGAGGGUUCCAAAGUCUCCAUUUGUAAUACCGAAUGGUAAGCCCCAAUUGGACAGAUGUAGAUCAGUCCACUUCUCUUGGGGGUGAAAAAACCAGCCAAGGAAAAGACAAGAUAGCAAAUACACCCCACAGUAAGGUUAUUGCAUGAUUCAAGGCGGGGGUAAAGGGUGGGGGGCUGGCUAGGGCAUCUGUGCAGUGACCUCACGGUUUGUGGCUUCCACACUGGCACUGCCUUUCAUCUCUGAAUGCCCAAGCCUUUCAGCCUGGGUGCAAAUGCUGUCUCUUCCAGAAACUAGUAUUCUCUCCCCAGCCUAGGGCCAUCUCUCCCUAACCCAUCACGCUGUCUCUGCAGCUCUCUGAGAAUGAAAUCGGUUUUAUUACUGUUCUUUAACACACACACACACACACACACACACACACACACACACACACACACAAUAUUAUUUUAUUUUAUGUGUAUGGGUAUCUUGCCUGCUUGUAUGUCUGUGUCGUGUGAUGUGCUUGGCACUUGCACAGCCCAGAAGAGGGUGUUGGGUUCCUUGGUACUGGAGUUAUAAGCUUCUGUGUGGGUGAUGGGAACUAAACUUGGUUCCUCUGGAAGAACAGCUAUUGCCAUCUCUCCAGUCCUCAUUGCUGUACGAUAGCAUGAAUAUAGGCAAGGAAUCUACUGUAUUUGGUGGCAGCCAUCAUCGCCAACAGCUGCUUUUGGCUCCCACGCCUUUUAGAAUGCUCUUGAUAGAAAACAAGUUCCUCUCUGGAGCAAAAGGUGGAAUGAAUAAAUGUAUAAAGUGGCGACCCACCAGAGCUCCACUGAUUUGUAUCUAUUUUUAAAAUUUAUCUGUAGUUUCUCUCCCAGUUAGGGGACUUAGAAAAUGCCAUAGAAAAGAGCAGGCUACCUCCCAAGCUCUGACAAGAGACUUAGCUUGGUCAGGACCCAAAGUCAAGCCAUUGGUUCCAGCUUGCUAUAGCAUCAUGUGUUUUUCCUGCCCUGAUCCUACUUCUAUAAGGCUUAAAAGUGGAAAAGGAGUCAUAGAACAGAAAGUGCUGGGCACAGGAGUCCUUCUCCAGGAUGAGGACGCCUUCCAGGAAUAGUGCCUGUGCCCUGCUGUUAUGAUACAGGUAUUCUAUCAUUCUAUUGUCUGGAGCAGCCCAGCCUGGUCCUCUUCCAUGGUUGGCCAGGGCAGACAAUGGGGAGGGGGAUCUUGGGGUGUUGAGUAAAGGCUAUUCUGGAGGGUGCUUUUGGAAAGAUUUGGUCCUGGCAGGCUCUGUUAGUUCCUGCAAUACAGCCCAGGCUCAGGAAACAGUGAGUUUUGUCUUUGUGGCCUAGGAAAGCAAGUUUGAAUAGGCAGCCAUGUGGGGAGGCAGCCUGGCACCAGCUCUCCCACUUUCUCUUCCACAAGCCCAUGCCCGGAAGGCUCCUUUUAACCCUGGUGAUGAGCACCUUCCUCAUUUCUCUUCUUCCUCUUCCCGCCCACAUCCUAGAGCUCACAGUGGUUGAGGGUGAGGGCCGGGUAAAGGGCUUGGCAGAGUCAAAGUGUGCAGAAAACCUUUUCUUCCCUGAGGAGCAGGUGCUUGGCUUUCUGCUCUCAGCUGAGGAAACAGUGGCCAAGAAACAGCUGAGAGACAGCUCAGAAGUGACACCUUGCACACCCACCCACGUUUUCCUGUCCUCGCUUUUCAAUUCUUUCUCAGUCUUUCCGUUGAUCAGCAAGAUUCUGUGGUUGUUGAUGACUAGAGCCGGGAUGUGCUUGCAGGACACGUCUGAGCCUUUCAUCUGUAUGCACGAUCCUACUAGGGAGCUCGGGAGAAACCUGUGGACUCUGAAAUGUCUUUCAAUGAGGAUUCUAUUAUCUCAUUUCAUCUGUAGUCUGGGCUAACAAAACCCAUUGCUAAAUGAAACACAUCUUUCCUCUAGCUCUGCCAAGUGACUGUGACAAUCUUACAUGCCAGGCUUUUGCCUCCUUGUUGAAGACUUAGAAAAAGAUUCCCUCAAAUGCUUGGAAGCCCAGGAAGAAAGCUGCUUGGCUUGGCAUUGAGUAAUCCAAGAGGUGAAAAACCUCAUGGCUUGCCCCUUCCCCAGGUUGAGCGGAGUCCUCCAAGCUAAGGACAGGAGGUCCGGAAAUGCUUCAGACAGGAAGGUCUGUGUCUGCAAGGAGGCCGUAAGUUGAGGGGUUCCGAAGUACACCCAGAGGUUCUCAUAGGAAUUCCCUGUCAUUGUGUUGAAGGAACUACAGGAAAGGCGCCGGGCAGCUGUUGUGUGUAUCUAGAUCUGACCCUGAUUAGAACCUGCUUCACUAGGAAAACCACUCUCCGUGGAAUACAGAAGCUUUGGCAACAAUGCCACAGCCAUGAGAGAAGAGCCAGCGAAGACUUCAAUGGCAUCUAAGUCGUCUUUUCAAAACAGAGGGGCUCGGGUUCAGGCAGAGUGGACAUGGCAGGGUGGAAAGUAGACCGUACCUCGGCGAGCGUGGAAUUAUUACUUUAUCUCCGUUUAGCAGCUUCUCCCACGACAUUUAGUCACAGAGAGUAAGCUGGCCCAAAUUGCUACAAAAUAGUGAUUUCCUAGGUUUUAGGAUGAACCCCCUAGAAGGUCUGCACCCAAGGCUGUGAGUUCACAUUGUGCCACAGAAUACUAUUACUUUCUUUGAUAGCACCUCUCUAGUGCCGUUUCCAAAAUGUUUUCUUAUAACAUAGGAUUAUGAAAGUAUUAUCUAGAAGAGAAUAUAUUCCUUAAAGAAAACAGUUUCCUCAGGUCAAUGGGAUGCUAGCUGAGUGAAUUAUAAGACAGGAUCAGAGUGAGAUUUUUCUCACUGCUUUCUCAUCAUUAUUUCAUUAUUAGAAAUUUCAAAUACACAGUAAAAUGGAGAACAUUUAUAAUGAAUAUCUACGAACCAAUCAUCUUUCUUUAUAAUUAGCAUUUUUAUAGUUACAUCCUAGUUACCUAUCAACUCACCUGCAUUUGUUACCUGUCAAAAUAAAUUGCAAACGUUAGCUCAUUUUUGCCUAAGUACGUUCACAUGCAUAUAACUGUUAUAAGAUUACGGUUUGCUCAUGUAUCUUAUCAGUCAUGCUGGUUUUUAUUUAAUGUUCAUCAAUGUAUAUAAUAUACAUAUAGUGUACUAUAUGUAUAUAAUAGAAUUGGAGAAAAUAUGAUGAAUAUACAUGUGUUCAUAUAUAAACUUAAUCAGUAAAGCUGGUCACUAAUCUUUCAAUAUGAACUUUUAUUCAGAUACACUGUACAUGGAAUGAACUUAUUGUUCAUUGCAUUGAAUCUAGAGAUUUUCCUUUGAAUACCACUUUAACUAUGUCAUGCAGGCUUUGGAAAUAGAAUAGUAUAUAUUCUAUUUCAAUUGCCACAAUUUUCUAUCCUGAUUGAUUCUUUGCUUUGUUUAUUUCAAAGUACCCAAUUCAGAAUUUUCAAAAUUUCUGCCUGUCAUUUGUUGCUAACUCCAUUCCACCACAACUGGAGAAGUUUGUCAGAUUUCAGCUCUCUUAGAUGUGUUGAGACUCGUAUGAGGGUGCUCCACUCAGACAAGAGUGCAUGUGCUCCCGCAGGAAGUGCUUUACAGACAGCGGCUGAGCACACUGAGAGGUUCACAGCACUCUUCAAAUCUGCAUCUUUGAUGAAACGCUGCUCCACUGAUGAAUCCAUAAUUGAAAAUGGGAUAUAGAAGUCUCCUAAUGUUACUGCUGAAUUAUCUAUAGGUGUCUUCUCCCUUUGAAUUUGUUCUUGUUUCAAUUAUUAUUUUGGGGUUCAGUUUUUAGAUGUACAUAUGUUUAUAAUAGUUAAGUGUUCCUGAUGGAGGGACUUUUUCUUAAUUAAAAAAUGUUUCAUACAAUAUAUUUGAUUAUAUUUUCUUCUCCAUCAGUUUCCCCCAAGCUCUCUCCCACCUCCCUAUCUACUCAACUCUAUAUUCUUUCUCUUAAAAAAAAAUACAAAAACCAAAAACCAUGGAAUUUUGUGUUGGCCAAAUACCCUUGAACAUGGGGCCUACCCUGAAGUUGGUUGUUAAACUCAAGACAGCACUGGCAAAAACUGAUUUUCUCUUUGCCUCUGGGUAUCAAUUGUAAAUAUCUUAUUGGUUAGGGGGAUACCCUGUACCUUUUUCCCCUUUAGGCCAGGUGUGUGUGGUGGUUCGUGCCUUUGAUAAACAGAAGAUUCAUGAAUUUAAGAUAAGCCUGGACUGUAUAGUGAGACCCUGUCUCAAACAUUAACAACUACGGGUCCAUUUUUUGUUCCUGGUAGCAAUUUGUUUGUCUUCAAGUUUAUUUUCUAUGAUUUUUCACAUGGUUUUCUUUCUCUCUUUAAAAUUUUUUAUUUUUGAAGUAUAUAGUAUAUGUGUAUAUAAAGUGUAUAUAAUUUUUUUUCUUUUUUUUUUUUUUGGAGCUGGGGAUCGAACCCAGGGCCUUGCGCUGCUAGGCAAGCACUCUACCACUGAGCUAAAUCCCCACCCCAAGUGUAUAUAAUUUUUAAUCUUUGAAUUUUCAACCUACUUGUGACUGUCUCUAGGCGGUCACACUUUAGAGUCAAAGACACAGAUAGGCUGGAAGUACAACUCACUUCAACUUACAAGUAAGUAUGAACUGUUUCAUCGUCAUUUCAAUCUGGGGAUCGCACUUUGUUACAAUAUUUCCCGGAGCAGACAGUUUCAAGUAAGCAAGAAUCACUCUAUUUCUCUCCCUUACAGCAGGUGAACAAAACUGACCAAAUAAACAAGACACUGGGAAAACAAGAGCACCAGUCAGCUGCCCACACUGAGCUCUCUGGAUGUCCAGUUAGGCAGGUCUUCCCUUCCAGAUCCUCCACAGGCCUACAGGAAGCAGCAUUUGGUCCUCCGGUCCAGGCUUGCUAGAAAACACAACCAAGGCGAGGCAGCUCUGGCCGUUAAGGGUCACAGAGGAAAGCUGUGGUUGUGUGAGUAUUAUAGUAAAACGAUGCCAGGACUCAGAGGGUGUGUCUUGAGUUCUGAAGCACACAUCCCUAUUACAUCAUGCUUGGGCCACUUGGGACAUUCUUUAGUCUCACAGGAAUUGAUUCAAGGAAGGCAACAUGUUUCUGUGUAAAGAGGCUGAGAUCUGGGCCUGACACAUCCAAGAACAGCUGGUCAAAUGGGACUGGCUUGUGUAAUGUACCGCAUUCCUGGCUGUGCUGUGAUGGGUGGAGGACCAAUGCUGCGUCUUCAGAUUAAUUCUUAUUAACACAGUAAUCUUAUUAUUUCCCUAAAGCCCUCCUCCAGUGAAGAAAAGGUCAAAGGAAAAUAGAGUUCAGAGGGACACACACACACACACACACACACACAGAGAGAGAGAGAGAGAGAGAGAGAGAGAGAGAGAGAGAGAGAGAGAGAGAGAGAACCAACUCUUUCUCUAUAAAGGACAGCUAGAACUUUAUUCCAACGUAGUCAGUGUGUAACCAGUAACGCAUCUGUUUAGAUUUUUGUAUUUUCAAUAUUUUAAAUAAGAUUGUGUUCAAAUCUCAUAGUAUAUACAAGUACAGGGAGACUUGUUCAUGAAGUAUUAUGGAAAACUCACAGUACCUUUUACCCACAGAACUAGGCGCCCAUGCUGAAACAAUUCAAGAAAGCAGGGCUCUGCAUGAGAAAACCUUUGAAAAGAACUCAGAAGAGCUCAACAGGACAAGACCAGACACAGAGUUGAUCACACUGGGAGCCCACCAGACUGCCAUCUGAACACUGGAACUCUUGGCAGACUUUGGAUAAUUGUAGUGGUGACAGAAGUGAAUCAGAGAUCUGCCCAGUUGCUAUGGGACAAAACUAUCCAAAGCAAGAGUCUGCAGGGAUCCUCCUUGAUGCUCAGGAAGAAUCGCUAAUAGGAGAAAGGGUCCUGGCAUCUGCUGCUGUCUGUCCCCUCCUAUGUGGUCCCUCGUCCUCCUGCCCAUCACACUGUAUUAUGGUGAGUGGUUCUGAGACUCAGUUUGGCUAGACUUUUGAACGUGAUAUUGCAUUCGUCUUUGGCUUUUCCAUAACCGAGCCUGGUAGAUGGCUACAAAGUAUCAACUUGCUUAUGACCUCAUCUCCCAAAGCAUUAGUAGUUUCAUCUUAUUUACUUGAUGCUGCUUUUGAGCUGGAAAGACUAUUUUACACCCCAUCAUUCAUUGAUGAUUAAGUGAGACCAACGCAGAAGAGGCUGAAUUUCAGCAGUGGAAGCAAUGACAUCAAGUUUCGUAUGUGACAAAGAAGCCAUGGUUAGAAUGGCUAACUAAAAUUCCAGGAUGACUUUUGAAUUGCUUUUAAGUCAGUAUAUUUUUUAAAAAUUGUCUAUUUACUUAAAAAAAUGUGUGCGAGUUUUGCUUAUAGGGGAACUGCGUCCUUAGUGAGAGCAGCACUCGUUCUUACGUGAUGAGCCUUCUCUUCAGCCUCGUAAGUCAGUGUUUUUAAUUCACUCUUCACCCAAGCCUUUUCUGAGAGCCAACAAGGCUGCCUGAUUUAGGUUUCUGGCUUUCCCCCUCCAUACUGUGGUUGGAGAGCAAAGAAAAGGUCAACAGGAAGGCCAGAGAAGAGAAAUGCACAAGGGGAGGAGAGGCAAAGAAAUGACCCAGUUGAGGGAAAAAAAAAAAAAAAAAAAAGACUCGGGGAAUCAGAUCUCUGCCUCUGCCUACAGGGAGGACAGGAUCAACAAUUCAAUAAUGGCUUCAGAUCUGGAGCCGGGGUCAGGCUUGGGGAGCAUGGGAACAACCUUCCAAACAUGUCUCUCCAGGAAACAGUCUCUCUGUGUCUCUUCUUUUUUAUGGAUGGACUUCUUUGCCACUCUUAAAGUAGCUUCCUUCCAUACUGUGGCAAAGAUGUCCCCCAGGAGCUCCAUGCUCAGUAUCUACCAGCUUAGCCACCCUUGUUCCAGCUAAGUCUUGGGUUUACUUUAAUUGGCUUAGUCUGCGCUCACCAAUACUGCAAACUAAUCUCGGUAGCAGAAGGAACAUGAUCCUUCUGCUGGUCAGACAUGGAGCCACUGGUUCAAGCAGGGCCUGGACACACAGGUUGAAGAUUAAAGAAGGGUGUUUCCUUACAGGAGAACCACAGUACAAGCAUUAAAGGAAAGGGUGAGCGGUCAAGGGUAAGGCAGAUGCCAGGUGCCCGUCUCUCUGGGAGUCUGCCUCCCUUUUCUACCACUCACUAGUUGCUUCUGCCUUAGGACACACCUUCGUUUCCAAGCUUAUUUCCCCAUUUGUAAGCCAUGGGUCAUGGUACACACUUGCUAGUGUUACUGAGAAAACCGGCUCAUAGUAUAUUAUGGGGAUCUUCCAUGCCUGGCACAAAAUUGGCAGCCAUUACUGUUGAUGUCACUGUUUCUUGGGGAUAGCAGUGGAAAGCACAAAGGCUAGAGUAGAAAUGACCAGGAAGAACACUGCUGUGCCCUGAUUCUGACCCCAGAUGCUCUAGAGUCUGUGCUUGGACAGCAUCCUUCUCUCCAGUUCUCGAACCCGAUGGCGCUCCACCUUCCUAAUGCUAUAAGCCUUUCAUAUGUGCUGUCGUGACCUCCCACCAAAAAAUUAUUUUUGUUGCGACUUCAUAACUGUAACCUAACUACUCUUAGGAAUCGUAAUGUAAAUAUUUUAGGAGACAGAGGUUUGAUGAAUGGGUCUCGAUUCACAGUUGAGACUCGCUGCUCUAAACCAUUUACUGCAUCUGUCUUUGAUAGAGCAGAUAGUCCCAGCUUCAGAUAAGCCAAGCACCUUCUCUGCACUUGUGUAUGAAUUGAGGGAAAUCAUAAUUUCAGGUUAUUUGAAUGAUAUUGCCUGAAAAUGACCAAGGCCUGUGUGGUGGUUUGAAUAGGUGUGUGGUCUUAUAGGAGGAAGUGUGUCACUGUGGACAUGGGCUUUGAGACCUCCCUCCUAACUACAUGUGAGUCAGUCUUCUGUUUGCCUUUGGAACAAGAUGUAGAACCCUCAGCUCCUCUGGUGUCAUUUCUGACUGGAUGCUGCCAUGCUCCCUGCCACGAUAAUAAUGGACUGAACCUCCGAACCUAGAACGCUGUGGAGUUGUUCUUCCUAUCAUCAGGGCACAUGGAGAAUGUGGAUCCCUCCUCAACAGUGACUGCACUAAAGGAUGGAGCCUGCUGUGCUUUACCAAGGGGAGGGCAGAGCUAGGACCCCUCAAGUGCUUCAGUGGACCCUAUUCAGAGGAGGCCCUGCUAGUUUUAAGCCCAUCACCCCCACAAGACACUAUUUCCAGUCAUUAAAAUGUUUCUUGAACUUA